ACGAACGCUGGCGGCAGGCCUAACACAUGCAAGUCGAACGAAGUCUUCGGACUUAGUGGCGCACGGGUGAGUAACACGUGGGAAUAUACCUUACGCUGGGGGAUAACAUCGGGAAACUGAUGCUAAUACCGCAUACGCCCUUCGGGGGAAAGAUUUAUCGGCGAAAGAUUAGCCCGCGUCCGAUUAGCUAGUUGGUGAGGUAAUGGCUCACCAAGGCUCCGAUCGGUAGCUGGUCUGAGAGGAUGACCAGCCACACUGGGACUGAGACACGGCCCAGACUCCUACGGGAGGCAGCAGUGGGGAAUAUUGGACAAUGGGCGCAAGCCUGAUCCAGCCAUGCCGCGUGAGUGAUGAAGGCCUUAGGGUUGUAAAGCUCUUUCACCCACGACGAUGAUGACGGUAGUGGGAGAAGAAGCCCCGGCUAACUUCAUG
rnacentral:rRNA from 1 species